rnacentral:rRNA from 1 species
GCACUAGGCGCCAAAACUUUACAAUGCUGGGAACAGCGACAAGGGAACCUCGAGUGCCAGGUUACAAUUCUGGCUGUCGUGAUCCCUAAAAAGCAUUAUAUAGCAAGGGCCGGGCAAGACCG